CCUACGGGUGGCUGCAGUGGGGAAUAUUGCACAAUGGGCGCAAGCCUGAUGCAGCCAUGCCGCGUGUGUGAAGAAGGCCUUCGGGUUGUAAAGCACUUUCAGCGGGGAGGAAGGCGUUAAGGUUAAUAACCUUGGCGAUUGACGUUACCCGCAGAAGAAGCACCGGCUAACUCCGUGCCAGCGGCCGCGGUAAUACGGAGGGUGCAAGCGUUAAUCGGAAUUACUGGGCGUAAAGCGCACGCAGGCGGUCUGUCAAGUCGGAUGUGAAAUCCCCGGGCUCAACCUGGGAACUGCAUUCGAAACUGGCAGGCUAGAGUCUUGUAGAGGGGGGUAGAAUUCCAGGUGUAGCGGUGAAAUGCGUAGAGAUCUGGAGGAAUACCGGUGGCGAAGGCGGCCCCCUGGACAAAGACUGACGCUCAGGUGCGAAAGCGUGGGGAGCAAACAGGAUUAGAUACCCGUGUAGUC
rnacentral:rRNA from 1 species